UACGAAGGGGGCUAGCGUUGCUCGGAUUUACUGGGCGUAAAGGGCGCGUAGGCGGCCACCGCAAGUCGACUGUGAAAUCUCCGGGCUUAACCCGGAAAGGUCAGCCGAUACUGCGGGGCUAGAGUGCAGAAGGGGCAACUGGAAUUCUCGGUGUAGCGGUGAAAUGCGUAGAUAUCGAGAGGAACACCUGCGGCGAAGGCGGGUUGCUGGGCUGACACGUGACGCUGGAGGCGCGAAAGCUAGGGGAGCGAACGGG
rnacentral:rRNA from 1 species